AUCCUCUCAAGAUCACACCCGGGGAGUUUUCAAAACUCUGCCAGUCUCAGCUCUGGGAGGGAGAGGCAAGCAGAGGCCAACCCCUUCCAUUCCUAGCUUGGUCAGUGGCUAGCGAGUGAAAGGCAAUCUGCAACAAGU